GCGCAGCAGGCGAGAACCUCCCAAUGCCCGAAAGGUGAGGGGUCACCCGAGUGCCACCUCGUGGUGGCUUUGCGGGAUCUAAAAGCCCGCGAAUAAGGGAGGGCAAGACGGUGUCAGCCGCCGCGGUAAUACCCGCUCCCCGAGUGGUGGGGACUAUUACUGGGCUUAAAGCGUCCGUAGCCGGCUGGGUGUGUCCCCCGUUAAAUCCACGGGCCUAACCCGUGGGCUGCGGGGGAUACUACCUGGCUUGGGGGUGGGAGAGGGCGGCGGUAAUUCCCGGGGUAGGGGUAAAAUCCUCUGAUCCCGGGGAGGACCACCAGUGGCGAAGGCGG
rnacentral:rRNA from 1 species